GCCCCGCCUGCAUCCCUGGGCCCCGGACCUCACUGUAGCGCUCCCCAGGCUUUCCGAGCGGAGGUGAGCAGUGUGGUCAUUAAGAAGGUUGCUCAGAUACCCAGGAGGCUGCCAAAUUUCACUACUGCUUCAGUCCAGUGAGAAGACAACCCUAUGGCCUGGGCCACCUGUAUGCACGUUGUGACUACAGCUCCCAAUGUAUCUGUGUCUACUGUUUUGUUGCUUGUCUGUUGCCACAGGGAUUUGAGAGUCAUUGGAAUCCAGUGGCAAGACAAAAGUCA